rfam:Monodelphis domestica chromosome 2, whole genome shotgun sequence.
ACAAAGGCUCUUUUCAGAGCCACCCACUUUUUCAGAAAAAGAUGCU